CUCAGAUUAGGCUUAAAAAUUCAGCUCUCUGCUAUUUCUAAGAAGUACAUCCUGAACACGAACAAGAAUGUAUAAAACAAAGAGAUAUUGAGGGAUAGGCUGGGCCAAAACUAAUAACAGCAAAAAGCAGGUAUUUUUAUACCAACAUUAGAUAAUUCAAGAUAAAAAGUGUUCGAGAUAAAAGAGGAUGGUUCAUAUUGGUGGAAAAAUACAAUUGACUGGAUAAGAUACAGCAAUCAUGAACCUCCGGUGACCUAAUACUUGGACUUUAAAAUAGAGGAUGCAGACACUGACGGCUGGAAAGGCAAGUACAAAUUGAAACAUCUGUAUUCAACCUGAAGCUCUUUAUUUUUGAAAUCAACAGGUUCAGGAGAUUUUUUUUUAAAAAGGGUCUAUAAGAUUUUAAUGAUAAUUAUUAGAAUUGCUCAUAUAUUUGCAUAUAUAUACAUGCGUAUACAUGGAGAAAGAGUUUUAGUCAACAGAUAAUAUGCCUUAUUUUCAAGCACACAAAACAAAUAUUCACAAAAAUUGACAUGUAUUAGGCUACAGUGGAAAUCUCAACAAAUUCCAAUAGAGAGAAAUUAUAGUCCAGACUUGGGUUUAUCCAGUGCAGCCCACUAAGUUCCAUGAGCACCCUCCCUCAGAAAACAAUACUAGAUAAAGUAUAGAUUGUUUCCCUUAAAUGCGCUAAUAAUCUGGAAAGAAAGAAUCAAUGAAGCCAAAACCCUGGUGAAGCUGGGAACACUGACUAGCAUUUGGAUUUUCGUCUUGAGGACAUUUACUGAACUUGAACUUGAAUUUGGACUAGCAGAGAAAGGCAGGUGGGGUGUCUACUAGGAAAUCCUGCUGUAUAAAAUUGGGGCCCCAGAGAUACACAUUCUCAUCUAAAGGAACUAAAAAUAACCCUCUAUCCUCCUUGUAAGUAAAAUUGCCUCUCUUUUAAUGUGCUACUAAGUGGAGGAGGAAAGAAAAGGUCCUUCUGGACAUUUGUCAGCUGUGUUGCUGUUUGUCUUUCUUGGGUUUAAAGCCUGAAUUUGCACUGCCUAGGCAGUCAGAAAAAUGCAGAUAAGGAGAUGAGGUAACUGAGAGAUGUUUUCCCUCCUCCCAUCCCUGAAAGGCCGACAGGCCAGGUAACUUCUCGACUUUAGAGCUUUUUGCAGAACGGAAGACAAGCUUCCUGAACAACAGCUCUCUCUUUGCCUUCUGUGCAGACAGGGUGGUUGGUGUUCCUGAGGGAAGAGGUGGGCAGAAGCACCCCAGCCUGGAGGGGACAGAUUGGUCAUCCGGCAGCAACAGGGAACUUGAGACACUGAGAGGGUGGUCCCAGCACCCACCAGUGUCAUUUCUGCUAUAGUCAUCAGGUGGACUCAUAGAAUGGGGUUUAAUUAGAUUUAAAGAAAAUAAAGGAAUGUACUUCUUGGUUGUUGAGUUACAAAUGAAGGCUCAGAUUGAUUCUCUCCCUGUCAGAAUUAACCUCUCCCAUGUGUUUUUAUAGAUUAGAGCCCUUCUAACCUAUACUGUGCAUCAGAAUCACUGGAAGUGAUUAUUGUUUUCUUACUUCUGAUCUUACAUUUCUUAACUAAGAUUUUUUAUUUCUAAUUAAUACAUAAUAUCUGGACAUAUUUAUAGGGCACAGUAUGAUAAUUUGAAACUUGUGUAGAGUGUGUAAUAAUCUAAUCAGGGUAAGGAGCAUUUCCAUCUCCUCAGACAUUUGUCAUUUUUAUGUA
rnacentral:lncRNA from 1 species